rnacentral:rRNA from 1 species
AGCAGCCGCGGUAAUUCCAGCUCCAAUAGCGUAUAUUAAAGUUGUUGCAGUUAAAAAGCUCGUAGUUGAAUUUCGGGGUUAGUAGGUUGGUCAUGCCUCCGGUAUGUACUGGUCUCACUGAUUCCUCCUUCCUGAUGAACCGUAAUGCCAUUAAUUUGGUGUUGCGGGGAAUUUGGACUGUUACUUUGAAAAAUUAGAGUGUUUAAAGCAAGCUAACGCUUGAAUACAUUAGCAUGGAAUAAUGAAAUAGGACGUUCGAUCCUAUUUUGUUGGUUUCUAGGAUUGACGUAAUGAUUAAUAGGGAUAGUUGGGGGCAUUAGUAUUCAAUUGUCAGAGGUGAAAUUCUUGGAUUUAUUGAAGACUAACUACUGCGAAAGCAUUUGCCAAGGAUGUUUUCAUUAAUCAAGAACGAAAGUUAGGGGAUCGAAGACGAUCAGAUACCGUCGUAGU